AUUCUUUCCUGUUUAGAGAGAUGCCAUGAUCAAGAAGGUGUUUUUUCCAGGGUUAAUCUCCUCCAUUGCACUCUAAGUAUGCUGAGCCCUAUGAUUUUCGCAGAUGCAGGAAAUCCAACUGCAUAAUUUGUGGUAGGGGGAGACAGUGCUCACAGUUUCCUA
rnacentral:snRNA from 1 species